GAUGAACGCUGGCGGCGUGCUUAACACAUGCAAGUCGAACGGGAAUUAUUUUAUUGAAACUUCGGUCGAUUUAAUUUAAUUCUAGUGGCGGACGGGUGAGUAACGCGUGGGUAACCUGCCUUAUACAAGGGGAUAACAGUCAGAAAUGGCUGCUAAUACCGCAUAAGCGCACAGAGCUGCAUGGCUCAGUGUGAAAAACUCCGGUGGUAUAAGAUGGACCCGCGUUGGAUUAGCUGGUUGGUGGGGUAACGGCCCACCAAGGCGACGAUCCAUAGCCGGCCUGAGAGGGUGAACGGCCACAUUGGGACUGAGACACGGCCCAGACUCCUACGGGAGGCAGCAGUGGGGAAUAUUGCACAAUGGGGGAAACCCUGAUGCAGCGACGCCGCGUGAAGGAAGAAGUAUCUCGGUAUGUAAACUUCUAUCAGCAGGGAAGAUAGUGACGGUACCUGACUAAGAAGCCCCGGCUAACUACGUG
rnacentral:rRNA from 1 species